UUAAUAAGGUACAAAGACAGUUUAUUUAUAUUUAUGGCGUACAAUAACGUGAAAAUAAUCGAGCAACGAACAGUUUAACUUUUUUUGUGCUAUGCACGAAAUUAGUGGCGGACGAGUGAGUAAAGCCAAGGAACGUACCCUGAAGUAUCGCAUAGCUCGUCGAAAGACGGGGUAAUACGGUAUGUGAUCGCAAGAUUAAAGGAGCAAUUCGCUUCAGGAGCGGCCUUGUACCUAUCAGCUUGUUGGUGAGGUAAAAGCUUACCAAGGCUACGACGGGUAGGGGGUGUGAGAGCAUGACCCCCCACGAUGGCACUGAGAUACGGGCCAUACACCUACGGGUGGCAGCAACUGGGAAUCGUUGACAAUGGGCGAAAGCCUGAUCACGCGACGCCGCGUGUGGGAUGAAGGCCUUCGGGUCGUAAACCACUUUUGCCAAGUUUCCGAAGCUUGGCGAAUAAGCAUCUACUAACUACGUGCCAGCAGUCGCGGUAAUACGUAGGAUGCGAGCGUUAUCCGGAAUCACUGGGCGUAAAGAGUCGUGUAGGCGGAUUGCUGCAUCGUAUUUGAAAGCUCGGGGCUUAACCCCGAAAUUGGAUACGAGAUGAGCAGUCUUGAGGGUAGGAGAGGGAAGGGGAACUUAUGGUGAAGCAGUGAAAUGCGUUGAUAUCAUAAGGAACACCGAAGGCGAAGGCACCUUCCUGGCAUACACCUGACGCUGAGACACGAAAGCUAGGGGAGCGAAGCAGAUUAGAGACCUGCGUAGUCCUAGCCCUAAACGCAUGCCUGCUAGAUGCCGGUUCCGCCGAUAGCAGAAAUGAACAGUUUUCAAUUAUUAACAAUUAAACAUUACAAUUUGUUUUUGUUUAGGUUUAAUGUUUGGAAUUUGGAAUUUUCUACUUUGGGCGG
rnacentral:rRNA from 1 species